CUUCUAGAAUUCCGAGAGGAUUAAACAUAUUGAUGCCAGCCACCCAAUCAGAGCAAAUCGGUCUCUGCUCGGUUCUGGUCCGGAGUGAAUGACAUAGCUGCUGCGAUAACGAGCAGGACAGUUUCUCUGGUGGAGCGACUGCCUGGAAGGUGUUUGGGAUGGACGGCAAGCUGAGAUGAACAAAGAAACGACCACGGGACACGGCAUCGGCCAGCGAUGAGACGGGGAAUCACGACUUAGGCCAUGGAAUGCGGCACCAAGUGCAUCAUGGGAAGCGACGGCUCUGUGUAUCUCUCAGAUUGAGUGCCAGUUGCGAUUUGCCACACAAUGUUUCUGCUUUAAACUCAAAUUCUAAAGACGAGAUGCAACGCCGAUGGCCGUCAGUAUCGCCGGGGCGCCCCUCGCCUCUUCCCAGAAGGUAUCUGAGGACAUUUAACAAUUCAGACGUCAGGGCCCGAAAACCGCUCACAUCAGCGCUGCCUAAUCCCCUUAUAACGGAUGAAUAAAG